CAGCCCUUGAGGCUGCUCUGCCUAUGGAGUAGCCACCCUGUUAUUCCUUUACUUUCUUAAUAAACCUGCUUUCAUUUUACUCUGUCAGCUCACUUUUGAAUUCCUUCCUGUGUGAAGCCAAGAACCCAUGUGACCUCCAAGGCUGCACUUCAAAUUUGGGAUUCACCCUGUGAUAUCUUUUCUGGUGAUCAUUAAGGGAUGAUGGAGACCUCUCUCUGGACCACAAAUUAAGACCUAUCAGUACCAUUUGGACCUGACAGAGGGACGUAUUUGAACUAUUCAUCAUUCAAGAAAAAUCCUUCUGUGUGAAGUGAGUUUUUUUAUGAUAGAGGAAAACUAAUGAGACUAUAAAAACAAUUAUUUUCCCACUUCGUUUUUUAGAGAUGUGUUAAGUUUUGCAGCCUGUCUGGAAAUGGACUUAAAUAUCAUUAAACUGCCUUGCUGCUGGUCAUAUAGGCCAUCUCAGGUUCUGAAAGGGAGAAGGCAAAGGUGCUGAGGUUCACUGAUAACCACCCUCUGGAUGCUCUGGGGUUUGUCAACAUUUUAGAUGGAGACUCUUAUUGGCUGAUACCUGGGUACUCAGUUUUUUUCAGCAUUUGGAACUGUUGGCCACCCCCUGGAUGCUCUGGGAUGUUAGGCAUUGGCAUUCCUUCUAGGAUUGUGGAUUAGAGUCCUUUCCUAGGGGAAUCUUGGUCUUGCAUUUUGUAUUCUACCCUAAAGUUAUCAUUUUCUCUAAAGUGUUUUCUUUGCUUAAUGUCACGUUAACACUUUGGUACAGGAGAUGAGAAUUUGCAGGGGAAAAUAACUGGGCUCUUGCUACACUGAGAAAAACUUUUGUGUUUAGUAGAGAUCCUUGUUAGACAAUGGCACAUCUUUGUUUAUGUGUGUGUAUACAUGCCUAGAUGUGUUUAUGUAUAUGUACAUUUAUUAUGUUAUGUAUUGUGUGUAUGGAGUACCAAAUUGGCUUAUAAAUAAAAGAGCACUCAUAAGUUCAAUAAAUAA
rnacentral:lncRNA from 1 species